GGUGAGUAACACGUGGGUGAUCUGCCCUGCACUUCGGGAUAAGCUUGGGAAACUGGGUCUAUACCGGAUAGGAGCCAUCUUUAGUGUGGUGGUUGGAAAGUUUUUCGGUGUAGGAUGAGCUCGCGGCCUAUCAGCUUGUUGGUGGGGUAAUGGCCUACCAAGGCGGCGACGGGUAGCCGGCCUGAGAGGGUGUACGGCCACAUUGGGACUGAGAUACGGCCCAG
rnacentral:rRNA from 1 species